CAGCAGCCGCGGUAAUACGAAGGGUGCAAGCGUUAAUCGGAAUUACUGGGCGUAAAGCGUGCGUAGGCGGUGAGUUAAGUCUGCUGUGAAAUCCCCGGGCUCAACCUGGGAAUGGCAGUGGAUACUGGCUCGCUAGAGUGUGUCAGAGGAUGGUGGAAUUCCCGGUGUAGCGGUGAAAUGCGUAGAGAUCGGGAGGGACAUCAGUGGCGAAGGCGGCCAUCUGGGACAACACUGACGCUGAGGCACGAAAGCGUGGGGAGCAAACAGGAUUAGAUACCCGAGUAGUCUCUGUCUCUUAUAC
rnacentral:rRNA from 1 species